UUGCAGCUUCAUCAAAAAGCGGAGGAAAAGAAACCAACAGGGAUUGCCCUAGUAACGGCGAGUGAACAGGCAAGAGCUCAGAUUUGAAAGGCACUUUUGUGCCGUUGUAUUCUGAAGUUAGGGUCCUGAGAAACGAUGCUUAAGUCUUCUGGAAAGGAGCGCCAUGGAGGGUGAUAGCCCCGUCUAGCAUUGACCUCAUAUAGGAUCUUAACAUGGAGUCGAGUUGUUUGGGAAUGCAGCUCAAAUGGGUGGUAUGCUCCAUCUAAAGCUAAAUAUCUGCGAGAGACCGAUAGUAAACAAGUACUGUGAGGGAAAGAUGAAAAGAACUUUGAAAAGAGAGUGAAAAAGUACGUGAAAUUGUUGAAAUGGAAGGGUAGGCCGCUAACCAUGUAGAGCCGUGUUUGGGGGGAAGAUAAAUGCUGUAGAAUGUAGCUCCUCGGAGUAUUAUAGAUGCAGUUCAUAUUCCCACCCGAGCGCGAGGAUCUCAUUAAAUCUUAAUGAAGAAUG
rnacentral:rRNA from 1 species